rnacentral:lncRNA from 1 species
AUGAAGUGUCUUUGUGAAACAUCUAUUUUUGUUUCUUUAUAUGUGAUACCAGCCAGUGACUGCAAUCUCAGCUCAGCCAAGCUGAGUAAGGUUAAAGUAAGGAGCCUCCUCCAAAGACAUUGCUGCUGCAAGAGCUCCACACAGUCUGCCUUGAAUGUGUGAUCCUAUCAUUUAGGUAAGGCAUCAACUUCUUGAAAUCACA